GCAAACUUGGUCAUUUAGAGGAAGUAAAAGUCGUAACAAGGUUUCCGUAGGUGAACCUGCGGAAGGAUCAUUAUAGAAUUGUUCGAAUCCAUACGGACAUUUUCUAAAAAUCCGUAUCCACACCGGUAGGGUUUUCUUUUCCUUUGGGGAAGGAAAGCCCUUGCCGUAGGGUUCCUCACUCGCUUUUCGGAGUGGGUGUGGUUCCUGUCUGACCCAUGCCUAUAAUUUUAUUUUGUCUGAACCUGUUUAUAAUAAAUAAUAAACAAAAACAACUUUCAACAACGGAUCUCUUGGCUCUCGCAUCGAUGAAGAACGCAGC
rnacentral:misc_RNA from 1 species